CCUACGUGAGGCUGCAGUGGGGAAUAUUGCGCAAUGUGCGAAAGCCUGACGCAGCGACGCCGCGUGAGGGAUGAAGGUCUUCGGAUCGUAAACCUCUGUCAGCAGGGAAGAACGGUCACUGUGCUAAUCAGCAAUGAAUUGACGGUACCUGCAAAGGAAGCACCGGAUAACUCCGUGCCAGCAGCCGCGGUAAUACGGAGGGUGCGAGCGUUAAUCGGAAUUACUGGGCGUAAAGCGCUCGUAGGCGGUAUGUCAAGUCAAGGGUGAAAUCCCCGCGCUCAACGUGGGAACUGCCUUUGAAACUGGCAAACUGGAGUGUGUGAGAGGAUAGUGGAAUUCCAGGUGUAGGAGUGAAAUCCGUAGAUAUCUGGAGGAACAUCAGUGGCGAAGGCGACUAUCUGGCACAUAACUGACGCUGAGGAGCGAAAGCGUGGGUAGCAAACAGGAUUAGAUACCCGGGUAGUC
rnacentral:rRNA from 1 species